rnacentral:rRNA from 1 species
GGCUCAGUGAGGCCUUCGGACUGGCUCAGGGAGGUCGGCAACGACCACCCAGAGCCGGAAAGUUGGUCAAACUCGGUCAUUUAGAGGAAGUAAAAGUCGUAACAAGGUCUCCGUAGGUGAACCUGCGGAGGGAUCAUU